UCUCUAGAAUGAGGAUGAGCUUCGGGUUGACCUUCAGGACAGCAAAAGGCCGCUGCAUGGCCAAUCUCAGCCGGCAGUGCUCACGUGGAUCCAUGGGGUUAUUUGUGCCACCAAGUCCUCCUCUGGACCUUGAGAAGGUCAAAGAAUUACAGCACUUCAUCACCCUUUCCAAGAGACUCCUAGUGAUGACUGGGGCAGGAAUCUCCACUGAGUCGGGGAUCCCAGACUACAGGUCAGAAAAGGUGGGACUGUAUGCCCGCACUGACCGGAGGCCCAUCCAGCAUGCGGAUUUUGUACGGAGUGCUCCAAUCCGCCAGCGGUACUGGGCGAGAAACUUUGUGGGCUGGCCUCAGUUCUCCUCCCACCAGCCUAACCCUGCACACUUGGCUUUGAGCAACUGGGAGAGACUUGGGAAGGUAUACUGGUUGGUGACUCAGAAUGUGGAUGCCUUGCACACCAAGGCAGGCAGUCAGCGCCUGACAGAACUCCACGGAUGCAUGCACAGGGUCCUCUGCUUGGAUUGUGGUGAACAGACUCCCCGUGGGGUGCUGCAGGAGCGGUUUGAAGUCUUGAACCCCAGCUGGAGUGCCGAGGCCCAUGGCCUGGCUCCCGAUGGUGACGUCUUUCUCACAGAGGAGGAGGUACAGAGCUUUCGGGUCCCAUCCUGCGCUCGAUGUGGAGGCCGCCUGAAACCAGAUGUCGUUUUCUUCGGGGAUGCAGUGAGCCCUGACAAGGUUGACUUUGUGCACAGGCGUGUGAGAGAAGCCGACUCCCUCUUGGUUGUGGGAUCAUCCUUGCAGGUGUACUCUGGUUACAGGUUUAUCCUCACUGCCCAGGAGAAGAAGCUACCAAUUGCAAUACUGAACAUUGGGCCCACACGGUCGGAUGACUUGGCAUGUCUGAAACUGGAUUCUCGUUGCGGAGAGUUGCUGCCUUUAAUAGACCCGCACUGACCACAGCCUGAUGUUCCUGAGCCAGAAACUGGAACUUGAAUCUUGCUGCUAAAGAUCCCUAAGAUUCAUCCCUUCUUCCUCUAACUAAUCGAAGCUCGCUGAGUGCAGCCUGUAGAGGGCAGCAAACCAGUAUCUCUCUGCCAGCCCAUCUCGGACCUGGGCAGGUUUCAGAGCCAAGCAGUUCAGAUCUUCAGGCUGAUGAGAUUUGCCCCUGAAGAAAGACUUUCUCAAAGCAGCAGCUUCUCUUAAUAGGAAAACUGCUUUCACUUCCUUUUUAUCCACUAAGCAGAAGAAAUGGCCCGGUUAAUAUGUGGGCCAGAAUGGUCUUUGGAGUGCUAAUCUAGGGAUUUCACUAAUGUGGGGGUAAGGGGAGAAGGACAUGACUUAAUUUUAUAAUCCCAAAUGGUUAAAUGUCUUUAACUGAACCAUUCUGAUAUAUUUUUUGAAAAGAUGAGUAACGGUAUGAAUUAAUUUUUUAUUAACCAAGGAAUAAAGGAAUCAUUUU